rnacentral:rRNA from 1 species
UACAGAGGGUGCGAGCGUUGUCCGGAAUCACUGGGCGUAAAGGGCGCGUAGGCGGCGCGGUAAGCGUGCGGUGAAAUCCCUGGGCUCAACCCAGGAACUGCGUCCGAUACUGGUUGGCUUGAAUCCGGGAGAGGGAUGUGGAAUUCCAGGUGUAGCGGUGAAAUGCGUAGAUAUCUGGAGGAACACCGGUGGCGAAGGCGACAUCCUGGACCGGUAUUGACGCUGAGGCGCGAAAGCCAGGGGAGCAAACGGG